rnacentral:rRNA from 1 species
GACGAACGCUGGCGGCGUGCUUAACACAUGCAAGUCGAACGGAGAUUUUAGCAAUAGAAUCUUAGUGGCGAACGGGUGAGUAACGCGUAGGCAAUCUGCCUUCUAGAUGGGGACAACAUCCCGAAAGGGGUGCUAAUACCGAAUGUUGUACCGUUUCCGCAUGGAGAUGAUACUAAAGGUGGCCUCUGAAUAUGCUACCGCUAGAAGAUGAGCCUGCGUCUGAUUAGCUAGUUGGGGGGGUAACGGCCCACCAAGGCUUCGAUCAGUAGCCGGUCUGAGAGGAUGAACGGCCACACUGGGACUGAGACACGGCCCAGACUCCUACGGGAGGCAGCAGUGGGGAAUCUUCCGAAAUGGACGAAAGUCUGACGGAGCAACGCCGCGUGAGUGAAGAAGGUUUUCGGAUCGUAAAGCUCUUUCGUCAGGGACGAACGUAUUUCUUGUAAAUAAUGAGAGAUAGUGACGGUACCUGAAUAAGAAGCCACGGCUAACUACGUGCCAGCAGCCGCCGUAA